rnacentral:miRNA from 1 species
GUGGACAUUUAGCAUGUUUUACUACGGCGCACACCCUCUCUCUUACUUCAUUCUUUUCGUCGUUAAGUAAAUGUACACAUUUACCUAAUAAAAACAUUUAAAAAAACAUUUACCUAACGACGAAAAGAAUGAAGUAAGAGAGAGGGUGUGCGCCGUAGUAAAACGUGCUAAAUGUCC